rnacentral:rRNA from 1 species
UGCGGAAGGAUCAUUGUCGAAACCUGCCCAGCAGAACGACCCGCGAACUUGUUUUUUAACGGACCAUGGAGCGUUGUAGUUGCCUUGAGCAGCUACGCGACCCGUGCCCGCGCUAGGCAUCGUUUGCUAUGGCACAUUAACGAACCCCGGCGCGAAAAGCGUCAAGGAAAAUAAACCAAAUGUGUGCUCUAUCCUUACUUCGGUUAACCGGAGGAAGGGUGUGAUGCCAUGUAUUAACAAUAAACGACUCUCGGCAACGGAUAUCUCGGCUCUCGCAUCGAUGAAGAACGUAGCGAAAUGCGAUACUUGGUGUGAAUUGCAGAAUCCCGUGAACCAUCGAGUCUUUGAACGCAAGUUGCGCCCGAAGCCUUGGCUUAGGGCACGUCUGCCUGGGCGUCACGCAUCGCGUCUCCCCCACAAMACCUAGUGUUGGGGAAGGAUGAUGGCUUCCCGUCCCUCACCGGGGGCGGUUGGCCUAAAAUUGGAGCCCUAGGCAUUUAGCUGUCUGGUGAUUGGUGGUGAACGAGGCCUCGGCCAAGCAAACAACCCGUCAAGCAGCCCUUUGCGCUCGUAGGACCCUUUCAUGGUGUUUUCAUGCAUCAGGAACGCUGCGACCCCAGGUCAGGCGGGGCUA